ACGAACGCUGGCGGCGUGCUUCACACAUGCAAGUCGAACGGGAUUUAGUAGACAGAAGCCUCGGCUAAAGAUUACUAAUGAGAGUGGCGAACGGGUGAGUAACGCGUGAGCAACCUGCCUAUGACAGUGGGAUAGCCUCGGGAAACCGGGAUUAAUACCGCAUAAAAUCGUAGAAACACAUGUUUCAACGGUCAAAGAUUUAUCGGUCAUAGAUGGGCUCGCGUCUGAUUAGCUAGUUGGUGAGAUAACAGCCCACCAAGGCGACGAUCAGUAGCCGGUCUGAGAGGAUGAACGGCCACAUUGGAACUGAGACACGGUCCAAACUCCUACGGGAGGCAGCAGUGGGGAAUAUUGCACAAUGGGGGAAACCCUGAUGCAGCGACGCCGCGUGAACGAAGAAGGUAUUCGUAUCGUAAAGUUCUGUCCUAUGGGAAGAUAAUGACAGUACCAUAGAAGAAAGCUCCGGCUAAAUACGUG
rnacentral:rRNA from 1 species